CUGGGAGAUUUCUACAGCUGCGUCUAUAACUACACCACCGACAUGAAAGAGGAACUCCAAAAAGUGAACUUGACGAGCCUUGAAAGCGCCAAGGAACUUGGAAAAGCGUUCAAGGAGUGCCUCAACGGACAAAUGGUGCCCUGGACGGAAGAAUUCUGGCCCAA